UCUUGUGUCCAUUACUCUAGCCUUCACUUGUUCUGAUAACGUAAUACUCAGUUAACAACAACGCGGCACCAGAGGGAAACUUCGACGAACAACUUAUGACGUCUACUUGCCUUCCAAUGCUUUAAGAUAAACAGCAAAGCUAAUUUCAGGUUAUCAUGGCAGCGGAGACGUUUCGCCCCCACUAACGCCCUGAUGAAGGAGGCAGCAAGCACCUCUGUAACGGCGGUAGACUUCUACCAGACGACACGGCGCAACACCUCAGAAGAGAGAUUCCGUUGUUCCUGAAAACAGUAAUAUCUAAUACUGAUAUAUGAAACGGCAUUGCAUGACUCACUCAACCUUUGCUGCAGAACUGAAGCCCAGUCCAAACAUCGGAAAGAAAGGCCGCAACAAGGCAGACCAGGAAACACGAGAAAAAGAACCUCGAAUCGAAGAGUAGUCGAUACUGAAAUUCCACAAGGGCAAGGACGAAAACUAAUCUCAAAAAUGUCUCUCGAGUUCUGGCAGUACAAAAGAAACUUCUCACCCCAUCUAUGAUGAAGGUAACCGUUUCUAUGCCAGUUUUGGUUUACAGAAAUCUUCCUCUGGGCGUGAAUAUCCGUAACAAUGUAAUUACUAUUACCGAAAUUAUACAAGUAACUAUUAUUAUUAAUACUGAAAACAAAUUUUUGUUUUAUUCU